rnacentral:rRNA from 1 species
GACAGAGGUGCCAAGCGUUAGGCGGAAUCACUGGGCUUAAAGCGUGUGUAGGCGGGUCGUUAAGUACCUUGUGAAAUCCCACGGCUCAACCGUGGAACUGCUCGGUAUACUGGCGAUCUUGGGCCACUUAGGGGCUAGCGGAACAAACGGUGGAGCGGUGAAAUGCGUAGAUAUCAUUUGGAACGCCAAUGGUGAAAACAGCUCGCUGGGAAUGAUCUGACGCUGAGACGCGAAAGCGUGGGGAGCGAACAGG